rnacentral:rRNA from 1 species
AUGCGCCUUGCCAGCCCGCUCAGGUGUGCCAGCAGCCGUGGUAAUACGGAGGAUCCGAGCGUUAUCCGGAUUUAUGGGUUUAAAGGGUGCGUAGGCGGUUUGAUAAGUUAGAGGUGAAAUGUCGGGGCUCAACCCCGAAACUGCCUCUAAUACUGUUGGACUAGAGAAUAGUUGCGGUAGGCGGAAUGUAUGGUGUAGCGGUGAAAUGCAUAGAUAUCACGCAGAACCCCGAUUGCGAAGGCAGCAUACCGGUGCACACUGACCGCUCAGGCACGAAAGCGUGGGUAUCGAACAGG